UUGCACGCUAGUGCAUGAGGAAGGACAGGGUUUAUGUUUUACCUCUCCACACACCUUUCUUUUGCAAUGUAUGGGUUGUACGAACACUGUGCGCUGUUUGUUAAGCUGCAGCCGUUCAACCGGGCUUAUAUGGUUGGCGAAGAUGAGGUUUAUUAAAGGACACACUGUGGAAUUCCUAAUGCAGUGUGAAUGUGCAUUCUUUUGACUAGCCCUGCUAAGUGUUUUGCCGCCUCCUCUCAACCACUAAACACAACCCGACGUUACACCGCCUACAGGAUGGCUGACGGCUUCAUCCGAUGCAAAUGUAUUAGGAGGUGAAACUUUUUGGUACAGCCAUUUUUGCCGACUAUACUGCCGAACCCAGACAAACUGUUAGCAAUGGCAAUGGCACUGAAGUAGAGUCACCACCACUAGACCCCCCAGUCACAUCGGAGGUGUUGGAGGAGGAGCAGGAAAGUCAGAACGUGAUGGAGCAAGACGCAGCUGAGCUUCAAACACCUCGUCAGAAUCAGCGAAACUGUUGAUCUUGCCAGAUGUGCAGAUGCAUUUGCUAUUGGUGUGCGGGAGCAAUCCCAUCUAUCACAGGCAUAAAAGACAAAUGAAGUAGAAUUAUGUAACCCAUAUCAACUACACCCUGUCACAUGACCCACGUCAGCUGAUUUGAGGUCCCUCUCCUGAUUUGCUCCUUCCACGUCGCGGCAACUAUGAAAACCGGCUGUGGAGGGAUACUUUCGGGUUGGACUCCUGCUGUGGCUGUAUGCUAAUGGCGUUUAGAACGGCGUUGGAAAACAAAGUGUUUUCUCCCCUCAAUUCAUCUAUAAAAUCGUACCACCUCAGCGGUCAGGGUUUUUUUCCCCCCUUUGAAUUGAUCUUCUUCAUAUUGAAAUGGCGAGCCGAGGAGUGUCAACAACAUUGUUCUUGGUGUCCAACCGUAUCAAACGGCUCUUCUGACGUCCUUGAUGGGGAAAAAUGAAGACCAUCCUUGAAAGGCAUCCUGAC
ensembl:lncRNA